UACGAAGGGGGCUAGCGUUGCUCGGAAUCACUGGGCGUAAAGGGUGCGUAGGCGGGUCUUUAAGUCAGGGGUGAAAUCCCUCAGCUUAACUGGGGAACUGCGUCUGAUACUGGAUGGCUUGGAUUCGGGAGAGGAAUGCGGAAUUCCAGGUGUAGCGGUGAAAUGCGUAGAUAUCUGGAGGAACACCGGUGGCGAAGGCGGCAUUCUGGACCGAUAUUGACGCUGAGGAGCGAAAGCCAGGGGAGCAAACGGG
rnacentral:rRNA from 1 species